CCAAUCAUGUACAGUCACACUUGGCUGCACAUGAUUUUUACUUGGAUGUUGGGAUUCAAACCUAGGUCCUCAUGUUUGAACAGAGAGUUAUUACCUGCUGAGCCAUAUUUCCACCCCGUAGCUUAUAAUUUGAAUAACAGCUAAGUCCCUGAGCCUCAAGUCUCCUUCUCUGAGCUCUGUGGUUAUCAUCAGUCUCUCUAGAUAUCUGUUCCUCCUGGUGACCUUAUACAGUAUCCUCCAGGAUAUUAUUGUCUUGUGUAACUUGCUUUGUCAAAGGAUGUCUACAAUGCUUAGGAGGUUAAUCUACCCUGCUCCCAGUAGAUGUUACAUCUUCAUCAAGUUCCUUCUACUGCCAGGGCUCUGAUAGCAAAAGCAGUGAAGGACUGCUCCUAGUGCACUGACCUGCAGAGCUCCUAGGAUCCCAGAGACCCCUUGUGAAGAAGAAAGAAAAUCAUAGUCACCAAGUGAGUGCCCAAGAAGACAGAGCUGUGUGGAUCCCUCGAGGCAGACACAGGGGACAGAGUGGUGAAACAGAUCAUCAGGCCAUCGAUGGAACAGCAUUCUCACAGUGGAAGCAUGUGAUCAUGGGGUUUUCAGAUCUGAUCCACCACCUGUGGAGACAUCCUGGGGUCCAUCCUAUUGAACACCAAGAUGCAAGCAAGAGUUGCUUUCCUCCGCAUCACCCAGAUCCAAGGCAACCUUGAAUUGGAACUCCUAUCAAGUGCCAUGCCCAUCCUAAUUCAUGGUCAUGAAGUACCCUGCUGAAAGAAGUUGGGGAGGGAAUACUCGGAUGACCGUGCCUGAGACUUGACAAGCCUCCAGCUCCUCUGGGUAAGCAUCAAGGCCCUUUUGUUGCAUCAUGACCACACUUGUUUUAAUUUACUUUUGUGACACAGGGUUUCAUGUACCCAAGACUGCCCUUGACUUCUCUUCAUAGCCACAGCUGACCUUAAACGUCCAGUCCUCUGCCUCCACUUCUUGAGUGCUAGAAUCACAGGCGUGUGCCACCACACCUAUAUUAGCUGGUAUGGCCUCAAACCUAGAAAUUCAUCUGUGAUAGGUGAGCACUGGCUGAGCAGCAUCCCUGCUCUAUUUAUUCUAAUCUUAGCAACCACCAAUUUACAUAGAAGAUUGAGUCUUAGAUCCCACUUUUUUCCUGUGAAUGCAGAAAGGUUUGGCUGUGGAUCCUUGGCUGUCAGUGAGGGUAGAAAUAGAUCAAGUUACAAGCCUUUAGAAGACCCCACUGCUGUUUAUAGCAUAGUGGCAGCUUCCCUUCAUUAAAGGAGGGUAGAAAAUCUCAGUCCACAGAAGGGAAGCAGGUCCUUCAUUCUGUGUAUCCCAGGACCCCCUUUCUCUUGUGUUUUUCCUGUUCAUCUCUCCUGAUCAUUCCAUGUUAAGAGUUUUCUCAUCACCAAAAGUUUAUA